GUUUGCCAAGAACUGGAGCCAAUACAAAACAAACGAAUACCUCAAACCAUCAGAUUGAUCAGAAACGCACAGAGGAGCGGUGUCGAAGCACAACCUAAAACAAUAACUCCGCAAUGUUUAACGUUUGGUGGAUUAAUAGAUAAACAUUGAUGUAAUCCAGGAUCAAGCUUAUUUCUGGAUUCAGUCCAGGAUGAGAUUAUUUUUUUUUUUUGGAUCCUAACAUAUGUGACUCUCUUUUCCUGAAAUCUCAAGCUUUUGAAGGUCAUGCAGUUACAGUAACAUCACCAUUUCUUCCUUAUCACGGAACAACCUGGAUGUUUCCUUGCAAUGCUGUCAUGCUGCGUUUGCUGAUGUCAUGAAGAUCUGAAGCACAGAGUGGCACAGACGCUCAGCACAAUUUUGGCUUUUUUUUUUCUUCUUUUUUUCUCCUCUCUAACAACUUCUUCAAAGACACCACUUCAAACCGUGGCAGGACGCAGCUCAGGACAUAUAAUCAGAGAGCGCAGGCCUUCCCACAGAGUGUAGGAGCUAAUGCCAGCGUGCCAAGGUCAGCCAUGCUGGAAGAGCUUCAAUAACAUCUGCUCAGCAAGAAACUGUUUCAGGAUUAAACACACAUAGCGAGAGAGACUUUCUGUUACAUCUUUGUAUUUUUAAAGAGGUUUAUAAUAAUGAGUGUCGGUUUGAGUUGAUUCAUUCGUUCAUUUUGCCAGGAUUGUCAAUAAUGCAGCAAUUUUUAUUGUGCAAUGCAUAAUGAGGAGAAAAUAAAAUUUGUGGAUCUUAAAGAGAUUUCCCAAAAGUACAAAUAAAAAAAGGUGACUAAAAUAAAACAGAACAACAGAGGAAAAAGAAAAAAAAGAAAGAAAAACUGACUUUCAGUCAGGGUCUGUAGCUUUCCACAUUAAAAUGGGAGUGUAUUGGAAGCAGUGCAUUGCUCAGUAACAGCUUUAUCCAGUUUAAAUGACUAAUUUGUUUAUAUUUUGGAAAAUAAGACGAAGUAAGUUUAGGAGAAAAUAUUAACUGUGGUAGAGGGUGGGAUUUGGAAUAAAAUCAAUUUUGGAGUUGUUCAGUGAGUCGGAUCAUUUGAUUCAGUGAAAGUCGACUCUUUCAGCUCCUAAAUGGUAUACUUUUGGACAAAAUUUGCAAUAUUUUAACCAGU
ensembl:lncRNA